rnacentral:lncRNA from 1 species
AAAUAAAAAUAAAUAAAAAUAAAAAAAGUUCCUUAGUUCACACCAGCUUUCCUCUCCACUAGCUUCUAUAACUAAUUUUACCUUGGGUUCUUGAAAAAGUGCAGAGUGGGCAAUGGCAGGUGGAUGCUGGAGGAAGGGCUGGGCGUUGGGGCCUUGCUGGAUCACACUCACACCACAGUGCUGGCUAAGCUCUUGCUGACCAGCUGGAA